GCACCUAGGGUUGGUGGGACCCCAACCUAAAUUUGGAGACACAAACACACGGCCUCUGGGUGAACGAGCCGUCAUUUUUUUUGGUGUGUGAGAAUUCUCUGUUGGAACAUCAUUUUUAGUGCACUAAAAAUUCCUUUGAGCCAUGUUCUCGGUGAGGGGAAUUGGUUGAAUGAAAGCAUAAUUGUUUACCUAUUCAUUAGCUGCUUCCGCCACACAUUGUCUUUCCCUUUUUAUUAGAAUAUUGAAAUGGUGAUUCAAAAGAGGGCAGCAGCCGCCAGAUUAAAUUUCUUUGGCUGUUUG
rnacentral:lncRNA from 1 species